CUUCAGGCUCUGAGCUAUCACUGACUGAGCCACCCAGAAUACCUGGCUCCCUUUUGUUUCAUGGGGAAUCUCUGCUCUUGAGUCCCACUCCUAGUUUUCUGCCCUCAGAAAUUCUUGGUUCCCAGGCUUCUGCCGACCCAGGACCGCUGCAGUGUACUGCCCCACCCUCACACAAGGAGAAAGGCUGCCAAGGUGACUCUGGUACAACUAUGCAGGGUCAGAAACUCACCCUCCCAAUCUGUGGGAGGAGUUCCUCCAGAUAAUUAGAAGGAGCCUCCAUUAGACACCACCCCACUCCACUGUACUCGCAGCUCAGCCCAGUUCAGAGAGAUGCAACAAAUAUCCAAUCCCAAAACAACCUGGGGGCAAUUCCUGAUGCCCUCCCACCU